UACGUAGGGACCGAGCGUUGUCCGGAAUCAUUGGGCGUAAAGAGUGUGUAGGCGGCGCUCUAAGUUCGGUGUGAAAUCUCUCGGCUUAACUGGGAGGGUGCGCCGGAAACUGGAGUGCUCGAACGUGGGAGAGGAAAGCGGAAUUCCUGGUGUAGCGGUGAAAUGCGUAGAUAUCAGGAGGAACACCUGCGGUGUAGACGGCUUUCUGGACCAUUGUUGACGCUGAGACACGAAAGCGUGGGUAGCAAACAGG
rnacentral:rRNA from 1 species